rnacentral:lncRNA from 1 species
GUGAGGCCCAGAGUGCCCACCCAGAACUCCACCUCUGACCUCACAAAGGCCUGCUUCAGAACUCAGUCUCCACUGCACUGCUGGCCAGACGAGGGAAGUUAUUUUGGGCAGUGCAUCUGGACUUGGUUCAAGUGGCACCAGCCAAAUCCCUGCCUUACUGACCUCUCCCCUGGAGGAGCAGGAGCAGCGCUCAAGGCCGCCUUGGGAGGGCUGAGAGGCAGGCUCUGGACUGGGGACACAGGGAUAGCUGAGCCCCAGCUGGGGGUGGAAGCUGAGCCAGAGACAGUCACAGAGGAACAAGAUCAAGAUGCGCUUUAACUGAGAAGCCCCCAAGGCAGAGGCUGAGAAUCAGAAGACAUUUCAGCAGACAUCUACAAAUCUGAAGGACAAAACAUGGUUCAAGCAUCUGGGCACAGGCGGUCCACCCGUGGCUCCAAAAUGGUCUCCUGGUCCGUGAUAGCAAAGAUCCAGGAAAUAUGAUGCGAGGAAGAUGAGAGGAAGAUGGCGCGAGAGUUCCUGGCCGAGUUCAUGAGCACAUAUGUCAUGAUGAACAUACAUAUGAUAGUUGAGAAAGACACAUAUUCUGAUCAUGAAGAAAUAAACACAAGUUAAAUAUGACUAAGCAGAAAGAUGGAAGGACCAGGAACGGUGAUGCUAACUUGGAACCACGAUGCAGGCUCUAAACUCCUCUACAAUCAUCCUCCCUUGUGAGAAAAAUACAUAAGAUCUAAGGCACAUGAGAUGAUAUGCUUUCUGUUUGAGUUUCUCCUUUAUGUUACGCAUACUGAUAAAAUUGUUGAUGCCAGUUGAUCUGAAGGUCCCAGCAAGGAGCCGACUCACAGAAGAAUGCAGUUUUCACAUCAUGAUGAUUUAAUCUUCCUUGACCUGAGCAAUUGACAACCCCAAUUCUCCAGAACCUCACCCGCCACAAUCCCCUUAAAAACCCUGGCCCAGAACCCCUCAAGCAGACAGAUGUGAAGCUUGAGGAUUCCUUCAUCUCUUUGCCCAAUGGCAUUGUGAUUAUUAAACUCUUUUUCUGCUGCAAAUUAUGAUGUCUCAGUGUAUUGGUCUAUUGCUGCUCAGUGGGCAUAUGAAUCUGGCAGUCCUGUAAUAGGGACAAAAGAUAAACUACUGGCAAAACACUCGUAAAAGUCAUAACCUAAGACAUAGGCCCACUGAAAGGCGGAUAUUCAAUCAGAGCACUGUAGAACAUAUUUCUCUGCUCAUACCAUAAAAUUUAAACCAAC